AAACAAGACCAUACGGGUUGCCGGGUUGGGUUAAGGGUUUCGGUCACUUGCUUCCUUCUAAGUUCUAAGCCACAACAAUCUCACACCUUAUUCCUUCUAUCAAUCGAACUACCAAACCUUAUCAUAAAUCUCAAUCGAAGUCCUAGUUCGUGGCCGUUUUUCUCUCGACUUGAUGUUUUGAUUGGAUCUGGUCUAAAGAAGCCCUCGCCUUCGCCGCCUUUGGCGGUUGCAACUACACCCUCUUCUCCUUCUCCACCUUCUCCUUCCGGUUCCAUGCCCUCGCCGCCGAUGUCUAGGUCUCCACCUUCACCUCCGGGGACGUCGAGAACUUCGCCGCCACCCCCUACGGCUUCUUCAUCUCCUCCGUCGGAAUCGUCAUCUGGACAAUCUGUAUCAACUGGACUGGUGGUUGGAAUCGCAAUUGGUGGUGUUUUAGUCCUUGCUCUUUUAAGUAUUAUAUUUAUUUGCUGUAAAAAGAAGAAAAGAAGAGACCAUGGGCCAGCUAAUUACUACAUUCCGUCACCAUCUGGA
rnacentral:lncRNA from 1 species